rnacentral:rRNA from 1 species
UACGUAGGUGGCAAGCGUUGUCCGGAAUUAUUGGGCGUAAAGAGCUCGUAGGCGGCCGUUCGCGUCGGAUGUGAAAGCUCAGGGCUCAACCCUGAGACGCCAUUCGAUACGGGACGGCUAGAGGUAGGUAGGGGAAAGUGGAAUUCCUGGUGUAGCGGUGAAAUGCGCAGAUAUCAGGAGGAACACCGGUGGCGAAGGCGGCUUUCUGGGCCUUACCUGACGCUGAGGAGCGAAAGCUGGGGGAGCGAACAGG